rnacentral:misc_RNA from 1 species
AAGGAGUCUAACAUAUCUGUGAGUAUUUGGGUGUCAAACCCGAGUGCGCAAUGAAAGUGAACGUAGGAGCCACGCGCAAGCUGCAGCUUCGACCGAUCUGGAUCUUUAGUGAUGGGUUUGAGUAAGAGCAUAUAUGUUGGGACCCGAAAGAUGGUGAACUAUGCCUGAAUAGGGCGAAGCCAGAGGAAACUCUGGUGGAGGCUCGUAGAGAUUCUGACGUACAAAUCGAUCGUCAGAUUUGGGUAUAGGGGCGAAAGACUAAUCGAACCAUCUAGUAGCUGGUUUCUGC